rnacentral:tRNA from 1 species
GAGGGUAUAGCUCAGUGGUAGAGCACAUGCUUAGUGUGCAUGAGGUCCUGGGUUCAAACCUCAGUACCUCCU